rnacentral:rRNA from 1 species
UACGUAGGGGCAAGCGUUGUCCGGAUUAUUGGGCGUAAAGAGCGUGUAGGCGGUUUGGUAGGUCCGCUGUGAAAACUCGAGGCUCAACCUCGAGACGCCGGUGGAAACCAUCAGGCUAGAGUCCGGAAGAGGAGAGUGGAAUUCCUGGUGUAGCGGUGAAAUGCGCAGAUAUCAGGAAGAACACCCGUGGCUAAGGCGGCUCUCUAGUACGGUACUGACGCUGAGACGCGAAAGCGUGGGGAGCGAACAGG